rnacentral:lncRNA from 1 species
UAGAUUGGGUACUUUUGGACUUCUCGUCCGGUUGACGCAUAUAGUUAUAGUAGCGGUUGUUGCAUAUAUACUUCUAGUUCUUUCUUUACAGUUGUCUUGCUACUAUAGUUUUGAUAUCCUUGUAUGCUUGCAGUUGUACGUUACAGUAGCGGUAGUUGUGUUUUCAUAUGUAUAUAUCUCGUUCGUUCAUUAUCAUUGCUAUUGUAUUUUACUUACCCAUACUGUUGGUUAUCUCUUCCUGAUCCGGUGAGUACUCCUCGCCUUCUUCGGCUUGCGGUACCCACUGGGAGGGGAGACAUGUUUACAUGUUCUCACCUACCCCACCAUUUUUCAGGUAUCGCGGGCGAUGAGUAGUGGGACGAGAUGUGAGGUACGUGUGUAGCGGUCGAUAAAACUUCCGACCCAGGUUAUUUCGAUUUAGUUGUUAUCCUUGGUAUUUCUGUUGAUAUAUAGUUUAGUUGGUUCAUGUGGUUCAGUAAUUAUUAACAUUCGAAAAUGUGGAUUUCUGGAAUUGUAAAAUAGAAGGUUUUCUACCCCUCGUGGUAGCGUUUUUAAAAGAAUAAAGGUUUCUGUGUAGGAAACAGCUUUCAAAAGAUUUUUGUGGAUUUCUGUCUAAACCUUGAAUGUAAAACUGUGAUGUGAAUGGUGAAUGUAUGAAUGUAUAGUUAUCUUUAUAUUCAUCUGGUUGUGGUUGUAUCCUGAUUGUACUGUGUAUUUGAUCGACGCCGUGCAAAUACAGGGGAGACUCUGUCCGUGUGAACAGUGGAUUCCCUGUAUUUGUGGCGGAUCUGGCAUACUCUGGGGUCAGGUUUUCAAAAAAAAAAAUUUCAGACGCUUUUCCGCUUUGUUUUAAACUGAAAAGGGACCCCGGGGCGUGACAAAGCGGCUCUUCAAACGUAUUGUCGUUUGUUUUUAAAUAUGGGUUAUUCGGAUGCAUUCCCGUACGGAGGGUAAGGCAACACUACCUUUGGUCACGGAGGUGAAGGCCACGGACGGCGUUUACUGCAAACGGAAGUGCAGCGGCGUCGGAGGAAGGAACAAGAAUACGAAGGACGUCCUUCUUCGACGCCGCUUCGCCUGCGCUUGCGGUGAACCCCGUUCGGCGCCUGCACCUCCUUGACCAAAAGUAGUAUCGUCUUAACCUCGUCGCCUUUACGAAGAGAUGCAUCGUCGCCGCAUCUCUUUUUAAAGGCUACAGUUCGUCCAAGAUGUUUAGGCAACGAUGGUAGAGAGUCGAAGAAGAGUUCGAGGAGGAGGCGGCUCACUCGGAAGUGUUCGAUCCAGCAGGGAGGCGUUAAGAUUGAUUUGCACUAUCUAUAGUGGUUUAUUUGCCACGAGCUCAUUGGCCCUCCCCUCAUCCAGGUUCUUAAAUUCUUGCAGAAUUUUUAUUGUUAUUGAUGGAUUCUAAUAUUUUGCUAACUGUACUAUCUGUUUCAUGAUAGAGCGGAGCUCCAAAGGGCUCGAGGCAUAUAAAGCACUCCAGAUAGUGUGAAUCAAUCUUAACGCCUUGUUGCUAGAUCGUACCCUUCCGAGCGAGCCGCCUCCUCCUCGCAGUCUCCUUCGGCACUCUCUUCUAGCCGCCUAUACCUGUUUGCGUUGGCUCCGUGUGCGUGGAAUCACUUAGUUAAGUUAACCUCCUUCAUUUUCAACAAUCCUCUCUUUUAAUAUUCUACUUUUAUGUAUCCUGCUGUCUUUACUUGUCCUUUGUACUAUGCUCAAGUCUUCAAUAUUUUGGGGCACCAACAUCACAAUGACCUCUCUGCAUUGCCAGAUGAUUAUGGUAUUUUCAGUUGGAUGCAAGAAUGUACCGAAUUUCUACAGAAGUUCCGAAGGGCGCACACUAAGAUCUUUCUUUGGAGAUGUAGUUAAUUUACAGGUGAUUCCUCUAAUUUAUUGUUUAUCUAGUUGUUUCGUGUCAAAUAUAUCAUGUUGUGAUUUAUCGAUGUUAAAACACCGCCUUUAACUACUCUUAUUUGGGUUUUUUUCCUUAUAUUGUUUAUCUAGUUAAUUUACAUAUAAGCCCUUUCAUCGUCAAAUGUUGAAAUGGUCUACAUGGGCUCCUUGUUCAAAUGCAGGAUUCAAGAAUGAAAUGCUUAAUUAUUUAAAAGGCUUCUCCACAUCAAGGCAAAAUGGCCUCUUUAUAAAUUCAUGUUUCACUCAUUGUCAAAUGGAGAGGCAGGACACGUGGUAUGCGAGUAACUCUCCACUUAUCGAGAGCACGUAGUUUAACAUAAUUAGUUAUUAACCUGUUUAGUUAAGAGAGAGACUGAAUAAGGAAGAUGUGUAAUUUCUUUACGCCAUUAUUAUUAGCUUUUCAUCUACCUAGCUGAAGGUCUUACAGCAUAUGAAUGUUUUUGCCAAUUUCUUUACGCAAUUAUUUCUGGUAAAGCAUUUUCGACCAUAAGCCAUAAACAAGUUUUCAAUUCAGGAGGAAACACUAUAAAUAUAAAAUUUUGUGCUUGUAUUUACAGCUAGAUAGUGUGGAAGACACUCUUAGAGAAGGCUAUCCGUAUGUUGCAUUAACUGCCACUAUUUCUUUUUUUCAUGUAAUUAGCUUUCAAGUGAAUGAUAGUGCUGUGCUAUUUGCUAAUGCCCAUUCAAUAAGGUAAAAGCUCUUCUGGCUGACACCUUUGAACAUUCUGCCUGGUUGACACCUUUGAACAUUCUUUAUUGUUUAAGUCUGUUGUCUAUGCAAUUAGUAAUUUCUCAUAUUAUUUCUGCAGGAGCCUUAAACUUGCAAAUGGAUAGCAUGUAGAAACACCCAAUAGGAUUAUUAUACAUGAUCUUGAAACACUGAAUAAGUUGAAUGUUACUUGAUCAUACAUGAUUUAGAGGUUGUCAUGUGAUGUGCUUUUCUAGCAGAGAUGGAAGAGCUAGCUGAAGAAAGGUAUUAUCUUAUUCUCAUGCUAUCUAUUAUGUAUUCAGCACUUAAUAGGUACUUAAUCAUCAUUCUUAAGCUUUCCUCUGUUUAGUUUUUUUUUUUUUUUUCCUCCUUUCGAUGCGUUAUAGUAUCUAUGCCUCAGCUUAUCCUCCGUAUUACUAGCUUACUAAAAGCGGUUUUGCUUUUUGUAGGAUAUCGCUUAGCUAUGUCAAAUCUACAACCGAAGCUAUGUCAGACCAAUAGCUUUCGAAGUGAAACAAUAAUGCCUUGAGCACUUAGAAUUUUGGAUUUUUUUGAGAUAAUAGAUGUUUAACGUCAUUUAGAAUUUAUUAUUGUUUGGUUGGAAUUCAAACAAGUAUUUUAUAAUUGAAACUCAUGUAUGAAAUUUAUUUUUAAUAUUGAAACUGUGAUUUGUCGCAAAUCNAUUUUAUAAUUGAAACUCAUGUAUGAAAUUUAUUUUUAAUAUUGAAACUGUGAUUUGUCGCAAAUCAUGAUUGCUCUUUGGUAAUGUAUGUUUUCUAAUUUUAAUUUAUUAAAAUAUUUAAUUGUGGAUCAAGUGUUUUAAUAUAUAUUGCAAUUGCCGCUAUAAGUCUUAUUUAGUAAUUGUUAGUUUACUUUUAGUGGCAAUUAUAAUUAGUUAUGAUGGCAUUUAUAAUUGUUGUUAUUGGGUAGGAUUUAGCGGUAUUUGUUUAGGCUUUUACCAACCGCCGAAACAAAUGCCAUUAUAAUUUUUAGCGACCCCAUCAUUAGUGGCAAUUAUUACAAUUGCCACUAUACUAUUUAGCGGCAAUUAUAAUUUCCGCGAUUUUAAAAAAUAAUCGCCACUAAAAUUUAGUUUUGUUGUAGUGGUAAUAGAACGUUGUAUUGUAUGCAAGUUCUGUUUGUAUAUUACAAAGUACUAUAAAAUCGUGUAAUUUGCAUCAAAAAAAUAUAAAGCUUGCUCCCAGGUUAAUGGACUGCUUACAAAUUUGUUACACUAUUUACAAAACAAUGUAGCACUGUUUUUAUAAUAGUAUAGUAUCAAUUUUAGAUUUUUUUGCACUAUUAUGUUCAUGUUGUCACCAAAUACUGAGAAAAAUUUGCACUGCUUGCUGUAUUGUUACACGCUUUAGCGAAGAAUCUUGCACUCUUUUGAUCAUAGUUACAUCAUUGAAAGACUUCGUUUACUUUUAAUUUCAUAUAUCACUAAUUUGGGAGAAAAAGUUUACACUACUGAACGACUCGUUGCACCAUUUCCUUCAAACCAUUGCACUAUUAUUACGAACGCAUUGCACACUUACAAGCCUAGUUUCACUCUUUUACCCCACGUUGCACUAUUAUUGGCGUUUAAAGUUGCACUAUUAUUAUACGGUUGAAAGAAGGAAGUAAGAUUUUUAAAGAGAUGUCACACUAUUAUCUUCUUUAAUCAUUCACGCGUUAUGUUGCACCUCUCGAACGCACCCUUACAAGCUUAGUAGCACUCUUUUUUAAAUCAUUGCACUGGUAUAAAAUAGAGUAUUGUACCCUUACAAGCUUAGUUGUACUCUUUUUCCAACUAUUGCACUGUUAUUACCACUAUAUUGCACUCUUACAAGCUUUGUUGCACCCUUUUUUAAACUAUUGCUCUGCAUCACCGCCGCUUCUCCUGCAUUUGGAGGGAUUGCCACUUACUUGCACUAUUUACUUUUGAUUAUAUCAACAAAUAAAGAAAAAUUUUGACUUGUUAUGGACUCGUUGCACCAAUUACAUUAAAAGAUUGAAAAGGUGAUAGCAUUUCCUUCAAACCAUUGCACAACUUAAGAAUAUGUUACACCACUUAGAGUCCUUUUUUGCACUACUACCAUCGCGGUAUCACUACAUGCAGAAAAUAAUAUGAUCUUUUUUUUACACAGUUAAAACUAACUAUUGUACUAAUUUGCCAGAUUUUGCAUGCGAAACCAACUGCUCCCUCCUCCAGUUGCAGACCUUAAAGCCAUGUCCCUCGGCCACGUUUAUUCCACUAACUCCCCUAUGCUUUCUAUAGUUUCGGUAGAAAAAUGACUGACUGCCUUCCAAGGGAGUGGGAGGUUGCCCUGAUGAGGAAGCAGAUUGAAGGCGAGCGUCGUUGAUCUGCUUUGGUGGAGAUUGCACUAGAGCGAGCCGAUAGAUGCACUGUUAGCAAGGCUAUUGCACCAUUGAUCCACGCGUUGCUCCGGGGCGUUGCACUAUUAUCUCUGUUGUGGGCGGCGCAGUUCUUGGCUUUUAGCCUCAGAUAUUUUAAAUUCUUAAAACCAAACACCAAACAGCGGGCCUAGCGAAUAGCGAGGCGGAUGUGGUCCGGGUUCCGAAAAAGAGCGGGGUUGCGUAAAGCGCAAGGGGCGCAUUUAAUAUCCGCCAGGACCGUACGACAGGUAUAUGUAUCUCAAGGAAUAUGCGGGAGGCUUUUGUAUACGAGGGACAUUUUGGUCAGGUGGCUAAAAAAUUGGAUCGAAUCUGUAAAAACGAAAAAGAUUGCCCAGUUUUGCAAAAGCGCAAAACUAGUGGAUUUUUUAUGCAAAUUGGCCAAUUAUUUUUAUAGUAGUUUAUAAUAUAAUAUUUUAUGUAAUAAUUUAAUUUAAAAUAGUAUAUUUAUUUUAUUAUAUAUAAUAAUUUAUUUUAUAUAAUUUAUUUAUAAUAUAUGUAAUGAAUAAAGUAUAAUACUAACAAUAUCCUUAUAAUUUUAAUUAAUAAUAUUAUAAAUUUCAAUACAAAUUAAAANNNNNNNNNNNNAUUAUAUAAUAAAUUUAACCAUAAAUAUAUUAUCAUAAAAAUAAUAUUUAUAUUAAUAUAUUUAUUUAUAUAUUUAUUUAAUAUUUAUCUAAUAAAAGAAAGAGAAGAACAAAGUUGUUUUCAGUUUCGUUAGGAACAAUUUUAACGGGUUGUUUUGGAACAAAUCAGAACAACCCGCUUUAAUCAGAACAAUCCAUUCCCCCUAGUUCUGCUGGCGUUUGGAUAGAAAUUGGGGGAUAUCUCCUUCUGUUCCGAGAUAUUCCUGUGCCAAACGCACCCAUAUAAUAAUAAUUUUAUCCGUGGAAUAACCUGCCGUUAUUUUACUGUAUCGAGCUAAUUAAUAUGAUAAUAAUACAGCAUCGCCAGUAAUCUAAUUUAAGGAAGUUAAAUUUCUACUUAGUUUGGAAUAACUAGAAAUAUUAUAUAGUGCCAAUCAAACGCCUAAAAAGGGCGCUAAAGCACAAUUAAGCGAAGAUGAUAAUAUUUGCAAAUUCAUGGUCCUCGGCUUAUGUGGUGCUGCAGGUGCAACUAAUUAAUAGCAUCUCGUGAUGAAGAUGCUAGUAGGGGUGGAAACGAGUCGAGCUCGAGCGAGUUUACCUCGGCUCAAAUUCGGCUUGAAAUUAAUUUCGAGCCUAAAUUUAAGCUCAAGUUUGGAUUGAAAUUAAUUCGAGCCGAGCUCGAGCGAGCCUAAUUUCGAGUCGAGCGAGCUCGAGCCCUAAACGAGCCGCUUGAAAUUCUCAAACAUCAUACGAUCAAUAUUUUAAUUUGUAUAGAAAUUAUCUAUAAUUUGAUACAAAAACAUGUCUAAUAAUUCAAAGUACAAAAUAUUAUAUAAAAUAUAGUAUAUAAUAUGAAAAAAAUAAUUUAUGAGUUGAAUAUCUAAUCUUUUCAGUCCACCAUGUCUUUUCUACCGCCUUUAAUCUCCAUAUUAUUCAUUUCAUUUAUGCAAUCAAAAAUAAAUAAUAUAUAGAUAAAUAUUGGAUUAAACUAUUCAAUAAUAUAUAAUUAAAAUUAAAAUUUUAUAUGAAUAAUAAUCUUUACUUUAAAAAUAUUCUGCAUAUUUUCUCAAGUAUACAAUUAAUAACAAGCUAGGUAGGCAACGGCGAGCAAUACUGUUACUUGGUAACUUGAAGGGCUUCCGGUUUGCCACUUAGGAUGAGAGACAGAAAAAGAGAAAGAGAGAAAAAAUUAAAAAUUUAAGCUCUGUAAAAGAAAGAAAGAAAAAAAAAUGUAUAAAUUAAGUGAAAUUCGCUCUUUUAUUUAUCUAUUAGUUUGUUUUUAUAAGCCAACAACAUUAGUCUAAUUUAACUAAACUCAGAUUAUUCACUCAGGCUCGAAAAGCUCGAAUAUAUUAUAUAUAUAUAAUAUAUAUAUAUAUAUAUAAUUAUAUAUAUAUAUAUAUAUAUAUAUAUAACUAUGUUAUCGAAAUAUAAGAGAUCUGGUGUUUUCGAUUUUUUGAUUCUUAGAUCAACUCCUUUAAUCAUUUUUUUAUUUUUGAUUAAUACUAUUAUUACCUUGUAAGAACCACUCACCUCAUGGGGUAUUAUUUAAUCCUAAGGGGGAUCGCAAUCAUCCCAACCAUACAAUUCUUAAUCAAAGGGCCAAAAAUUUGAAAUAUCAAAUCCUUAUUUUUCAAUAGCAUAAUAGUUCUACAGUGUGUGUAUAAUAUAUAUUAAAAAAAUAUAAAUAUAAUACUCAAGCUCGGCUUGAAAUCAAUUUUCGAGCUUUUUUUUUUUUUUUUUCAAGAUCAGCUCAUUUAAUUUCGAGUCGAGCUCGAGCGAGCCAAAUAUCGAGUCGAACGCGAGUCGAACACGAGCCGGCUCGCUCAUUUGCCAGCCCUAGAUGCUAGCCCGGUGUCUCUCGAGUGUGGGAGAACGUGUCUCAUAGGACAAAAUGAUGCAUUGUCUGGACGCGCUUCUCGCGUCUUCCUGAUCUCUCUCCCCCUCCAGAACUUUCACAUGUAGUCCUCGGCCAAUCCCAACCCUUCUUUUUCCUUUGUCUUUUUUCCCGUCUCUUUGCCCUUUAUAAAGAUGUCCCCAUUGUACGGUUUCUUCCAACCUCGUCGAGCAAACGUCUUCUUUACUCGCCGAAGCCCUAGAAAACUACACAACAAUAAUGGCCGCAGCAGCAGCAGCCGUCGCCGUCGCCCCAUGUGCCGUCAUCGGCCAGCUCUCGUCACUCCCCCGCCUCCACCUCCACCUCCACCUCCACUCGAUGCGAGCGCCAAACCAAAUCGCAGCCGUCAUCCCAAGUUCUUCCAAAGCACGUAACUGGCGGUCCCUCAUCGUUGCUUCUGCGGCGCCGGGGGCGAUCGAAAAGCAUGACAGCUCCACUGGCACCGCCCUGGAGCAGCAGCCGCGCCGCUCCCCCUCCGCCCUCUCUUCUUCUAGUAAUUUAAUCUUUAAUUUUUAAUUAAUUAUCACCGUUUGAAGCUUUAAUUUGUUUGUCCCUACUGUAAUUAACAUGUAGUGCCGCUGGUUUCGUUAUAAUUUAUUUAUGUACAGCUUCCUUUUUAUUUUUAUUCGGCAAAGUCAUACUUUCUUUAUUUUUUUAAAUAUUAUUAUAUAAAAUAUAGGUAAUAUCGAAUUUUUUUUAUAAAUAAUCCUAUUGAUUUUUAUAAUUAUAAAAAUAAUUUUUUUAAAAAAAUAAUUAUAAAAAUAGAUCUUUAAAUUCUGUGAAAGAUUCACUACAUUCAUAACUCUUUUUAGAAGUAAAAAAAGAAUAAAAGUGGUGAACCAUUCACCGCUUUUAUCCUGGUAGAAAUAUAAAAUAAAGUAAAAAAAAAAAAAGCGGUGAAUGAUUCACCGCUUUUAAAAACGAUGAAUAUUCACUGCUUUUAUAGAACUAUAUUUUUAAAUAAAAAUUUAACAGGUCUAAUCACAUACCGGUCCAAGAACGGGGACCGGCCUUUAACUUGUAGUAAAAUACUUCAGUCGAGUGACAUAUGAAAUCUUUUAAUAAAUUUAAAAAAAAAAAUUAUUUCUUUUAAUUUUUGUAGUCAAAUUAAUAAAAAUUUUGGAUGUAAUGAUGUAAGCAAAUUCACCAUCUCCUCUUGCAAUACUAAUUUUAUAUAAAAAAUUUUAUUCAAAAAAUAAAAAACUAAUAUUAAACAAAAUUUUAAAUGCUCCUAAAGUAGAAUUGGAAGUAAUUAAGGUUGAACAAGUACAAAAUAUAUGUGCUACGUAGUACUCUAUUUGAGUACUUGAUUGAUUAACAUAGACGCUGAAUAUACAUAUUGAAGGGCUGAUCGAUCCGCUAUCGCCUGUGAGGACGAUGAGGCAGAUGUUGGAAGCGAUGGACCGGGUGUUCGAGGAUAUGAUGGCGUUCCCUGGGAUGAGGAGAAGCCGAUCAUCGUCGACUUCGGCAAGGGAUAUAUGGGCACCGUGGGACAUCAUGGAGGAUGAGAAGGAGGUGCGAAUGCGGUUCGACAUGCCAGGGUUGUCCAAGGAGGAGGUUAAGGUGAUGGUGGAGGACGACGUGCUCGUUAUCCAGGGAAAGCACAAGACGGAUGAAAAGGGGAACGACGGUGACAGCCAAGGGAAGACAACGGAGGUGAAGUCGCAAAAUAAUUAUUAUUUUUUCUUAGAAACUAAUUAUGCUGAAAAAAGUCUCAUAAUAUUUUUUAAUUAAGAUAAAAACAAGGGUUUAAAAAAUUUAUUGACCUGGAAUGUUUUAUGUUACUUUACGUUUUGCAUGUCCUUUGCUUUUAAUGCGAUAUAUGUAGUCGUGAAUCUCUAUCUCCGAUUUAUACAAAGGAGUACUCUAACCGAUUAUAAUAAUAAAAUAAAUUAAAAAGAUAAAAAAAUAAUAAAAUUUAAAAAAUUAAAUAGUUUUAUCGGAAAUAGAUCAUAAUUGGGACAAAUAUAAUUUAAACUUUUUUUAUUUGUGACAGAAGGACAUGUGGUGGAAAAAGCGGAGCUACAGCUCCUACGACAUACGGCUUAUGCUGCCGGAUUACUGCGACAAAAGUAAGGUGACCGCAGAACUUAAGAACGGUGUGUUGCUGGUCACUAUUCCCAAGAUCCCAGGGACAAGGGAGGUCAUCACCGUUGACGUGGAGGGAUAAUUUAAUAUACAAGCAUGUACAUGUGGCGUAAUCCUCCUCUUUUUUACUUAUAAUAAAAUUUCUUUCCGAGAGACUUAUUAAGGUAACCUAAAUUAUAAUUUUUUAAUUAAAAUAAAUUAUAUUUUGUGAAAUGCAGUGAAAAUAUUUAUUCAUAUUUUUUACAAAAGUGACUUAUACUAAAACUCGAGUUCCGGAUUGUAAAUAUUGAUUCACGUAUCUUUAGAUCGUCUAUGAAAAUCUUCUAACACUCCAAAUUCGUGUUAGAUCACUACAACAAAACUAUAUUUUAGCGGCGAUUAUUUUUGAAAUUAGGGGCAAUUACAAUUGCCGCUAAAAUAUUUUGUGGUAAUUUCAACAAUUGCCGCUAUUGGUAGGGUCGCUAAAAGUUUUAGCGGUAUUUAUUCCGGCGGUGGGUAAAAAUUCAAAUAAAUAUCGCUAAAUAUUAUAAAAUAACGACUAUUAUAAAUACCGCUAAAUAGUAUGCAACAACAACUAUUAUAAAUACCGCUAAAUAAUAUACAAUAACAACUAUUAUAAAUGCCGCUACAAUUAAUUAUAAUUGCCGCAAAAAACAUACUAAAUGAUUGAUUAAUAAAGCUUAUAGCGGCAAUUAAAUUAAUANGGGUACAAGUUGACUUUUGGCCAUCUUGUCACAUCACCCCCCCUUUAACCCUUACCUUGGAGCAGAGAGGAGAGUGAGAGGGGAGCUUCUUCAUGCUGCUGCUGCUGUGCUUCUUCUUCCUCUCCUUCUACUUCCCUUAGCAACCUAGAGUGUUGGAGGAGCUCAAGAGAAGCUCGAGCUUCGUCGACGACGCGCCGCGGAGCGGAUCGAGCGAGUUUUCGACGAGGUGACGCUGCGAGGAGGCCGUGUUACAGCCGAUCCUUGCCAUCCUCGACGAGGUGCUGCUCGCAGGGAGGGUUUGUCGAGGUGAGUGGCUCCUUGAGAUCGCUUUUAUGGCUUUAAACUUCUACGAUUUUCGAACUGCACUGCUGCUGCUGCGGAUUCCAGCGUCGACCCGCAGAGUUUUGACUCGUAUUCCGCGCAGGAGCAUCGGAACGUGACGCGACUUGAUUCGUUGGAACCGAGACUUCGAGACGAAUCCAUAGGAUCCUUACUCGCCCGAUUUGGAGAAGGUUUGCUCUGUCGAAAUCCCUUUUUACUGAGUUGCUGUUUGCCGAGCAGACUCUGAAGUGCUGAUUGCUGAUUACAGCAUCGACCCGCCGUGUUUUACCUAGUUCUCUGUGUAGAAGUGUCAAAACGCGACGAAAUUUGGCGUGCUAGAUUCGCGACUUCGAGACGAAGAUUCUGAGCCCAAGAUCGCGAUUUUUGGAGCAGGUUUGCCUUGUCGAACCCUAGUUUUACUAGGCUGCUGUUUGCCGAGCAGAUUUCAGAGAUGCUGUUUCGCAGGUUCCAGCGUCGACGUUUCGUAUUCUGGCCCGUUCUCUGCGUAGGAGCGUCGGAAUUCAGCGAAACCUGGGCCAUUGGAUUCGUGACUUCGAGACGAAGCUUCAGAACCCUUGUUUGCUGAAUUUGGAUAAGGUUAGCUUGGUCGGAUUUAAUGCUUUUUUCGCUGCUGUUUUCUAGGCAGAUUUCGUGAUUUUGAGUGUAAUUGGGUUUACUUCUUCGCAGCAGGAGAACCGGGGACUUCGACGGACCAGCGAGGGAUCAAUUUGGAUCCGGGCCACUUUCUUCGCUGCCAGGAGUUGCUUGAGAGGUGGGUUCAUCGGUUUUGUCUCUAAGUACAUAUUAGUCGACUUGUAUGCUUUGUUCGUUGAACACUAAAUGAGGUAGCUCAAAUUCAUGGAUUAGUAUAUUAAAAACCUGAAUUAGGAGCAUGCUAAGUGAGUGAUGAUAAUUGAUACUUGUUGGACUUGGAUUUAACUUAGGAGAAAAUCCCGAAUUGAUCGUCAUUUACAUACACUGCCGGAUUUAGCUCUAGGAGCCGUGUUGCAUUGUAUCGUCGCGGGCUUUGUGCGAUAGAUACCCAGGAUAGUGUAGACUGUUACGGGGUGUCGGGCGCCGUCGGGGCAGGCGGUGGGCCCCAAAGUCGGUUUUAGUUACUUGGGUUUGGCUGGUUAGGGCCUGAUUGAGCUCGACAGAGCUACGCUGCAUACUCGGCUGGGUAGCUCCCCCGAGUGCCACUCCGGAGUUAGGCUUUGUGCUUUCGCGUCGGUGUCGGGUAGUGCAGGUUGGACUUGCUCUCCACUGAGGUUUAGAGUGGGGGGUAGCUGUGCAGUCACAACCGGGCACGGGACGGGUGCGUUCACAGUCCCAGGGACGGGUGCGUUCACAGUCCCCUUCGGAUUGGGUCUGGUUGACUUGAGUCUAUAGGUGUUAGUUCUGGGCAUGAUAGCAUAGCGACUUGUAGCUGUAGAGAGUUUCCAGUUUCAUUUUCUUCUAUCUUGCUUACCCUGUAGACUUAGUGGGUGGACCGAUGUUGUUUAGGGCGGCACCCACUGAGGACUACUUGCUUUUAUAGUAGUUCUCACGCCCUCUUUCUUCCACCAUGUUGCAGGGCCUUCUGUUUCGGCUGCUGCUCCUUCUGAGGCGGACCGCGGGAAAGGCGUGGCGAGUUAGAGCCUACCCUUCGAGUACAGUGCUAGAGGACUCCCGCUGCAGGUAGUGACAGUUUUUGUUCGGGCGCUUUUGUACAUACAGUUGAACUCGCUGGAGCGAGUAGUGUUCUUUUGUAUCCGUGGCUGAUGUAGGUAUAUAAAGUUUGUUAUUUCUACCUGCUUGUUUAUAGUUUACUUCAGCUCUAUACUACUGCUUGUAGUAUUGUAUGUUUAUACAGGUUCAGCUACGCUUCGUAUACCGGAGAAAUUCUCUUGUAUACGGCGGAUUUGUCGGCGUGACCGGGGGACUGUGCAGCCCGGGGCGUGAUAAAUACAUAACUAACACACCACAAUAUUUUUGGUUCUCACUCAUAAUAAAUAAAUUAGAUCAUAAAUCUAUAAUAGAACUAAACAAAUAUGAAAGUCAAUAUCUUUUCUUGAUUAAUAUCCAAAUUUCAAUUAAUUUCUAAAAGACUAUAUGAAAUUUACUCAACUAAAUAAAUCCUAAAUAUUAUAAAGAAAAACUAAAAGUAAGGUAAGUAAAGAAACUAAAAUAGAAAGGAAGAUCACAUCAUACCAGCACCGGAAAAUGCAGAAUGGAAUGGUCGUUUUGCUUGCAAUUAACAAAAUACAAUAUGCCGAAUUGGGUAGUCGUGCAUAUAUUCUGCGGUUAUGUAAUUUGGCAAUUGCACGUGCGAAGAGUAGGCAUUAGAGAAAAAAAUAGAACAUUCGUCUAUUCACCUUAUCUUCAUCCUGAGGUUACAAAAAAUAAAAAAUAAAAAAAAUAGUAAGUUUAUACCUCAAGUAUAAAUUAGUAGGUUUAUACCUAAAAAAAAAAUAGUAAGUUUACAAAAAUCAUUCGUCUAUUCGUUUAGUAAAUGUACAUGAAACCAAAAAUAUAUACUAUAUUUUCUAAUCUUUUGUAUAGAAUGGUUAAAAUAAUAUAAAUAUGUAUAGUUCCUAAUUAAUGUAGACAAAAUAACUUUUUAGUACGUUGCACAUGCAAGAAAAAUAUUUUGAAUUUUUUAUAUGUGGUUGAUGAGAAAUAGCACUAUUUAAAAAAAUUAUUUUUUAAUCUCAACUGCAUAUUUAACUUUAAAUUACAUGAAAAUUUUUCUAUUUAUUUAUAUAUUUAAUUUUUUAAUUGAAAAAAUAUUUCUCAAUCUAACAUGUUGCAUUCAAUACCAUAUAUAAUAUGUGGAACAAAGAAAUGAUAUGAAAGAGAGAAAGAGGAAGAAGAAGGUUCAAAUACUGUUUUUGCAAAGUACUGUUUUUGCCAAGUACCAGAAGCAGACGAUUCUCAGCCAUUGUCAACGCCGAUCUACAAAAAAGAUAUAGAAAAAUCAAAAUUUGUCAUCUUCUUGCAUUCUUUUUCAACCUUAUAAUUAAUUAAGGUGGAUGUGUGGGGAUAUGAGAGGAGGAGAUGGGGUUAGCCUGAGAUGAAGGAGAUGAAAAGAGUUAAUAGCUUUUUGAGAGGAAGAAGAUGAAAUGGGUUAUAGAGGGAGAUGAAGCAUUAAUGAGUUCCGAGGCAAAAUACAAUUUUCCAUACAUAUCAUCAUUACCAACUUUUAUUUGAUAGGUUAGGAUUUCUAAAAGAAGCUUGAAAAAUAUUUAGUGAACCCAAUGCACUAGUAGACCUUUUUACACAGUCCAAUCAAUUAAUGCAUAUUAAUUUAUUUCCAUACACUAGGUGCUGAACUUAUUUUAAAUAUAUUGCAUAAGAGUAUCAACAUUUAUUAUAAAUAUGUUGCUAAAUAUUUGCAACAUUUAAUUAUAAAUGUUGCUAAUUAUUCAUAUUUAGCAUUAUUAUGAUGCAAAUGUUGCUAAAUAAAUAUAUUCAGCAACACUUAUAAAUUUUGUUACUAAAAAUAACUUUUAGCGUUAUUUAUGUAUAUGCCCCAAAUAAUAUGCCACUAAAUUAGACGAUUGUUGUAGUGAUCCUACAGAAUCAUCAAAUGAAACAAUAUUACAAUUGUGCAGCACUAUUCAAAAGUUGUAGGAUAUUCCAUUAAAGACCCCAAAGCCAUGAUAAACUUGAAUACAAGGUUUAAAGUGCCGUGGCACGGGCGGCACUUCAAUCCUUGUGUAUAAUAUAGUAUUAGGCAUGGCAUAGAACUUCUAAACCAAUAUAUGCAUGUAAUGUGACACUAUAACGACAUCGAAAAAAAAAGAAGAUGAUGGUCUAUAACAAUUAAAUGAUGAAAAGGCAAUUAAUGCACAUGAAUUAUCUGAUGAAUAGAUAGAACAUACUGUCAAGAAUGUGGUGAUCCGGUAGUACAUCAAGGAAAAGUGGAGGAACCUGCAGCAAACAUUUUAAAAUAAUUAUAAGUUCUAUAACAAAGUACUACGAAUACUAAAAAUAUAAUAGCUUCUUGAACAGAUCCAUUUGAAGAUGCCCACCAUGCUGAUAGCCUCUUGCCUUGUUAUGUUUCCAAUCUCAUUCUCUUGCUUUAAAAACUCAUGGAAUCUGGAAUUCGCCAUUAGGCAGCAUAAUUAAACAGGACUAACAAAAUAGACAAUAGCCAAUUUACAAUAAAGUUUCACAUUCACAAGAAUGACACAAAAAUAAUCAUCCCAAAAUUGGUGCUUAUAAAGUAUCCGUGCAAUGUAAGAAAAUCUACGUUAGUCCAAAUGAAUAGAGAGCAGUACAACUAAAAAUACAUAUCGUCCAAAUGAAGCAUUAAAAGAAUAUCUUGUAAAUUCCUUUCGUGGUACUGUACUUCAAUUAGCAUAAAAAAAGUCUACUCAAUAACGAUUACCUCUCAAGUGCCUGGUUCUUCCUAAGUUGCAUACGAGAAAAGUUCAAAUGCCAUGCAACGUUCCCUGGAUACCAUGACAAUGGUCUAAUAGCUUCCGCUUCAUAAUCAUCUGUUACCUGUAAACAAUUAGAAUGGCUGAAAGUUAGAAAAGAGCACGUAAAUACUACUAAUUUAUCAAGCAAUAUUUAAAUGGAACCUCAGCCUGCAGUGAUUUCAUGAAGUCAUUUUCCAACUGUGAUCGAAUGUCCUGAAAAAAUUGGCCACUGUAAAACGAGUUGAUAUUAGUUUGGUUGAAGCAACGAAACUAAAGUUCGACCAACUAAAAUCCAGGGGGCAAUCUGAAAAAAAAAAAUAGUCAAUUUUUAGUAUGCGAAAUGAAGGCCUAAAAUUAAGUUUGGUAUCAGGCAGAGAGUAGAGAUUAUAAAAAACACAUGAAUGGCAUGAAUAUGAAACCUUGCUAUGAAAAACGCAUUAGUCCAAGACUUCAAGAGAAUUUUGAGCUCAAAACGAAUAAUAGGAGCAUAAACUACAGCUUUCUAAAUGUGAAAUAUUUAAGGUUUGUAAUGAUUAAACUGCAUUAGAAUGCUUUAGUUUUUACUAAAGACAACUGAUGAUUUGUUAACAGAGGAAGAACCUGAGAUCAAAAGUUAUUAUAAGUGACUUGCUUAGAUCUACACGUCGAACCCUUAGGCUCUAUAGAAUAUGCACAAGGAACCACCAAAUGUUUUAACUUAAAAAAAAUAAGAAAAAUCUCGGGCUUUACGAUAUGACAUGAAGGGAAACAAAUCACUAUUUCAAACAGCAUAAAAGUUCCUGAAUAAUACUACCCAAUUCAAUGAAAUGUCAAACUACUCAUCCUAGGAAUUCAAUUUGUCAAAAUUAUCGCCACUAAGAACUUACUUCUCGAGCCGCAUUCACCAAUCACGUCGCUAAUAGAACGAUUAGCCCUACUCCCAUACAAACAACACAAUGCACUUUAACCCACAAAUAGGAUCAUCACAAUGCAAUAAUGUUAACUAUAAAUGAUCAAAACACAAUUCUCUACUAGCUCAAGCUACUAGAAAUUAGAAAUAAUGGUUGUUUCGCACAUUAUCAAAGCAGAAGUUAGCAGCUCAUUUCAUAAACAAGUUCCCACAAUUACCCAAAAUAGUUAGCAGCUGAUUAAAAUGCAUACUUCUUCCUUCGAAUAAUAUAAAUAUUGUAUGCACCCUUCCAAGUCGAAUAAGUCCGAGAACUCACUGUUACAAGUUAAAUACACAGUACAGUACCGCGGUAAAUUCACCUACUAGGUGAUCCGACACGAAGCGUAUUCAAUAAUUGCAGGAGGGAGAAAAUAUAGUUCGGAUUAUUCAUACCCUAUGAUAAUAAUCCUACGGCUGGAUUAUUGAAGAGCACGCAGUUUAAGAUUAAGGUAGAGUGAGAGAGAUCAAACGCUUAUGUUUUUGAAAAUAAAAAUUUUGAAAAAAUAAAUAAAAUGGGAGAAGAGAAUGGGGAUUUUGAAUUUGAACUCGAACAGGGUUAUCGUGGGGGUAGACGCUACCUCUUGUCGCCCCAGACGACGUUAACUUGGAGGAUGGGGACGACGAGGGCGGCGCCGAGGAUGCGGGCGAUGGCGAUGGCGCCGACGAUUUGGUUGCUUUGUUGGUUGAGCCCGCCGGCGACGACGACCAGCAGGUACUUCCGGCGACCCUCCGGCGGCUCCCCCCGGUACUCCUCGCUGAAGCUCAGGCACGGCCGGUACCCCAUCCCAUCCGGUUGCCUCCAAAACUCCCCCUCCGCCGCCGGAAAUGAGGACGAUGACGACGACGAUCGCACGCCGUCCUGGGAGCAGGGGAUGGGGGAGAAGGGGAUUACCGGGCCGAGGCGGAGGGUUCCGAGGAAAGCUAGGGCUAGGAGAAGGAGGAGGAUCCUAGGGCUCGAGGAGACGAUGCGAUUGAUCCGAAAUCGGGAGGAGGCGGAGGAGGAGAGGAGCUUCUUAGGGGAGAAGACGAGCGAUUAGAGGGUGGUGUAAGAGAGCGCGGGGAUGAUCUGAGAGAGGAAGGAGAUGUACGAGAGAUGCUUCGUCUUCGAUUUCGCCAUUAGAGGAGCUCGGCUACCUCCGAGCUUUCUCUCUUUCUCUACUCACUUCCCCCCCUCUCUCUCUCUCUCUCUCUCCUCUCUCUCUCUCUCUCUCUCCUCUGCAAUCGGGGUUGAUCGAGCGCAGUGAGCAGUCGACGUAGGGUGAGGCUCAGGUGGGGUGGAAUUCAGUUGGGUUUGGGUUAAGAAUACUAUUGGGCUCAAAAUAAAAAUAUUUAAUAUAUAAAUAUUAGUAUAAAAAUAUACCUAUAGUUUAAAUAAUUGCCGCUAAAGUACAAUUAGAUAAUAAUUAUAGUGGCUGUUCUAUAAUUGCCGCUAUUAAAUUGCCGCUAAAUAGUAAUUUUGUUGUAGUGGAUCGAGCUACGAACGAGAUUAGAUUUAUAAUCUACCGUUCAAGAUCCUCUAAAAGCAAUAGGUUAAAGAAGAAUGUGGUUUUUCUUUGUCACAAGAUGACGCACAAUUUUUUCAUGAAUUUUUAGGUAUUUUUUACUUAUUUUUUUGUACAUAUUUUAUGAGAGAAUCGCCCAUAUAUUUAAAGAGAUUCUAAAACUCUAAUAUGUAACUAGAAGAUAAGGUCGAAUCGGUUUUUGAUUGUUGUACUAAUAUGGUUAGAAUUUAUUUCUAAUUAGCUUUUUAAAUUAAAAGCGAGAUUAUGUAAGGACUGAGAUUUUUUGCAGUGUAGCUAAACUCUCGGUUGACGAUGUUUUUGUGUGUAAUUUAAUUACAAAAGCACUCGUCAAGUUUCGGGCGAAAUCGNAACUAAAUAUUAUAAUGAAUUGAAAUAUUAAAAAAUAUUAGUAACCAAAAAGCAUUAAUAAUUUGUAUAACAAAUAGUCUCAACUCUCAAAUUAUAAUCUCAGAAUUCAAAUUAAAUUUCAAACAUAAGUUCUAACAAAAAAUACUUGUUCAAAAUGUAGGAAAAAAAUAACAAACACCGCAUGUCUUGCUUUCCACUUCAAUUUCCGCAGCUCCAGUUGAUCUGGAUCAACCAAAAAGAAGUCAUAAAAUUAGUAUCUGAAAUUACCAAAUAAAAAUCAUUAUAUCAAAUUUCUGAAAAAUAUAGAAGUUAGGUUGUACUGUUCAUCAACAAAUAAGAAAACAAUAGUUAACAACAUAUAAAUACCAUAAAGCAUAUCCGCACAAUAAUUAAUAAUGUAAAAAACCAAGUUCUGAUUGAUGGUUAAUCCUAUUGUGCUUGGUUGAGGAAUAAAGAUUGUUCCGCUAUGGGAGAUAGUAAUAACUGAUCACAAAUUCAAUUUUGUGGAUGGUGCUGAAAGGCAGAACAGAUCAGAGCAGCUCUUUCAUAGUGAACAUUCUGACUUUCACAUCGCUCGACGUAUUUUAGUAAUAUUUGACAAGAUCAAGGGAUUGAAGCUUUGAGGUAACCCCCCACACAAAAGCUUGUAGCUGUGGGCUAUGCAAGCUAGCAAGACAGUUCACAUUUCUACAAUUCUAGUGAUAUGAAAUUCUACCAAUAGUUGAUAUAUUUCUGAAGUAUAAUUUGCUAAUUAAAUUUUUUAGAUGAGAUAUAAAGCAAUUGCUAAGACUAGACAAACAAUUACAUCACAGAACUCAUUAUCUUCAAUAGAGAGAGCCUUGAAACCCACAGGACUCAAUACUUCCUCAUAGCUACACAUAAGACAAGAACAAGGAAUUGUUAUGCCAUUAGAUACCUUUGACUCCAAUUAGCUAGUUGAAGUUGGCGUGUCAAAGUAUUAAUAUUGAAUCUUGUUGCAUAUCUACCAAACACUCCAUUAAGGGCAGAAAUAUACUUACUCAGCGACAGUUGUAUUGUAAGGCGGUCCUUCUUGCUGAUCGGUAAUCUGCUGUCCACAAUAUGUAAAUGCUAAUAUUAAAUUCUUAAGGUAAAGAACAUAGGGGAAAAGAAAGAAGUCAGUGCUCCUUAAAAUAAUGAGAUUACCUUAUAGUACUAGAGGUGCAUAUAAAAGUUUCUUUCUAUUAAUUCUAAGAUAGAAGACUGCACAAGUUGUGCUAACCCACAAAGAACCAUCAAAUAAUACUUUCCUAUGUGGCCCAGUUUAAUAUAACCUUGGUGAAAUUUUGGACUUUAAUGUGAAGUGGACAAUAACAAAUGUUGUUUAAAUUGAAUAUCAGCACAAGUAUGCAACCUCAAAAGGAAGAAAGAAAAGGAAAAAAAAAAACAUUCUUCGUACAAUCAUUAUUAGGAAUUUUGUGCCCUCUACUAAAAUACAUGAAAACAUAUCUUUAAAGAAAAAGCUCAUUAUGAUUAAAGAAAGGUUAGCGAUCAGGUUUACAAUACAAUAGGCUAAAUUAUUAGACAAAUAAUAAUAACCAUAUAAAAUGAUUGACACCAGAGAUAUUAGAACUAGAUGCAAAAGCUACAGAGAUAAGAGAGAAAAAUAAUUUUGCAAAAAUCAAACAAGUACGAAACAAAAUGAGUAUGUCAUCGAAGUAUGAAAUAAUAUAAAACUUCAUUAGUGAAAAAUCAAAUUGAAAUGCUAACAUGCAAGGCAUAGUUGCAAGUACUCACGAUCUGUGGUGAAGCCAUCCCAUAAUGACAUAAAUUCAAUUUUCAUGUUAGUCAUGGCUUAGUCAUGGCUUCAUGAUCUGUAGUACGGCGUUGUCCCAGGAAGCUAUCAACCUCAUCAAUGAAAAUAAUAGCAGGCUGGAGUUUGUAAGCCAGGCUAAACACAGCAGCCACUGCCACAAUCAAGUAAUGAGAUUUAGUGGAGGGUUUAAUGAGAAAAAUGAGAAUGAAGAUAUUAAUUAUAAAGAUAGUACAGUAGAGAAAAUAGGACAAUAAGCAUGCUUAUUAACAAAUCAAAGAAAGAAGACAAGUAAUACUCUAGCAAUCGAAUUUGCACCAACCAGUAGACCUAAAAUCUAAAAAAGGGAACACAAGAACUUCUUUGAAUUACUUAUAAUCAAUGGACUGUAGGUCAAGUUUCACUUUGUGCCAACCAAUGAAGAAAAGAAAAUCACUAGGUUGUCAAUCCAACCAACUUGAAUGAGUCCUCACCAAAUUUGUAAUUGAAACAAACAAAAGCUUGUGAAAAUCUGGCAACAGCUAAUACACCUCUGCCUGUGAUAUGUUCGGAAGAAAUGACAGAACCAUGAUGUGCAGUAUAUAGAAAUAUACUGAAAAGAAACAACAUAAACUUCCAGCACCAAUGCUUUUACAAGUAGCAAGCAGAUAUACAAGGGGCGUAAACUUUCAUGACUACCAUAAGGCACUAUGCAUAAACACAUUGAAAAGAAACAACAUAAACUUCCAGCACCAAUACUUCUACAAGUAGCAAGCCGAUAUAUAAAGGGCAUUAACUUUCACAGUUUCAUGACCACUAUAAGAAGUCGUCAACCAUGAAAAACUAGAACAAACUACACAUACCGAGUUUUUGAGCGUCACCNUUGUGGUUGUGAUCCUGUUGUAUCGUUGGUACGCCGUGCAAAUACAAAGGAGACUCUGUCCGAGUGGACAGAGGAACUUUGUAUUUGUGGCGGGUCUGUACGUCGCGUGGGCCAGGAUGAAAAAAAAAAAAAAUGGCACGUUUUCCGCAACUCUGUUUUCAAAAUGGCUUUUAAAAUCGGCCCCGGGGCGUGACAGAUUAAAUUUAGUUUAACUAGACAACAUAAUAACUAUCGGAUCGAGUUCGAUCAUGGGCGUACCCAAUUUAGUUUGACUGAAUGCCAAAAUAUCUUACUUGCACAUAAUGGGAUCGUUGCCAUUAUUAAUCACUUUUUCAACAUUACACCACUAUUGAUUUCAUUCAUGCAAGAAAAUAACCAGUGCGACCGUCGAAUUACUCUACAUUUUGGAAGCUCUACACUAGAAAUCAUAUAAGGCAAGCAUAGAAAUAUUAAUUCUAAAAGAAUAUUAGACUUGAGAUAUCCUAGACCAUCAAAUUAUAUUAGGUUUAGCAUCUCGAAUCCUUCAUAUAGCCUUGCGAAUAUCUGUUGUGCACACUCAUGAUUAUCUCACUAUACGGAUACAAUUUAUCAACAAUGAUUCAAAUUGUCUCAAUGUAAUCUAACUAGCCUUCCUUGGGCUCUCAUGUCACUAAAUUAAGAGUUGAUUGCUCUCCUAGCAAUGCCCUAUAAAGUCGUAUCCCUCAUAAUGGUAGAAAAUAUGUCAAACUAGCAACAUCAAUUCUUUCACUUCAUGGCAUAGUGAAAAGUCACUAAGGGCAUUUAAUAUAUAUAUAUAUAUAUAUAUAUAUAUAUAUAUAUAUAUAUAUAUAUAGGACAGCCUGAAAAUAAUGUUCAUAUGAACUCACACGAUGAGGAAGUGAGGAUCCAUUCACUUAUGUCAUUCAUUUGGUCGCCUACAUGUAGUAUGAAAUAUAUGAUAUGGUAAAGAAUCUCAAUGAGUGUAUAUCUUUCUUACAACAUAUAGAUUUUAGCUCAGUCACUCUCAAGGUGUCUAGCUUGACUUCUUCAUUUUCUCGCUAUCUCAAUCGCCAAACAAUCAGCUCACAUUUGACUCUAAAUAUAUAGGCAAUGCGAAUUGUGGGACUAUCAUAUGCGGUCUCACUGAGGACCUCAUCUUGAUGCCAACCAAGGUGGCUUUCUUUAAUGUCUCAAUUUUUACUCGCUCUCUACAGCGCCAAAAAGUAUGACUUCCCGUGUGAGAGGGCCAGUCAGUUUGUGACAUAUUAUCAAUGUAUUCUUCAACAAGAUAGGAUAUACAAAUAUAUGUGCCAAUUUUAAUGAAUAUCUUUACUAAAAGAAUAAUUUGAAUUUAAAUAACCAAAGAAUAUUACAAUAAAGGCUAAAUAAUUAACUAUGUGCACAAUCAAAUCCUACGGAGUUAGGGAUGUCAAUGGGUAUGGAUAUCCGAAACUUUAUCCGAACCCGAACCCGAAUGGAGCGGAUAUAUCCCAUGCUAAAUGGAUAUGGAUUCGGAUAUGGAUAUCACAAAUAGAAACUCGACGUUUAUGGAUUUGGAUAUGGAUUUUUACUAUACCCGAGAACCCGAACCCGAACCCGACUCGAACCCGAAUUUAUUUUGCAUUAUAUAAUAUAUAUAUAUAUACAUAUAUAAAAAUUUGAUGCUAUUUUUGAAUUUAUAUUUUAAAAUUUUAGAUUUAAUAUAAUAUAUUUUGAAAUAUUGAAAAAAGAAAUAAUUGUUUCGGUUUCAAAUUUUCGGGUUCGGGUUUGGGUUCGGGUUUCGGAUUUUUGGUCUGAUUCGGGUUUGGAUAUGGAUUUUUAAAAUCCAUCGGGUUUGGGUUCGGGUUCGGGUCUCGGGUUUGGAGUCAGGUUCGCGUUUAGGUUUUUAAAAAUCUGCCCCGAAUCCGACCCGUUGACAUCUCUAUACGGAGUUCAUGGGCUUUAACGUGAGCCAAAAAUAAUUCUCUAACAAUGGGCUUAGUUAGAGGAUUAGGAACAAUGCGACUUGUAGAGAUGUGUUCUAGGAUUAUUUUCUUCUAUAUUAUGUUACGAACAAAGUGAUAUUUCAAAUCAAUAUGCUUAGUCUUUUCAUGAUAUUUGGAGUCCUUAGAGUACGCAAUUCUUGUCAUACUAUCAAAUAGAUUGUUAUAAGAAUGUAAGCACAAGUGACAACACCAAUGUCACGCCCUGAGGCCCUCUUUGGAAAGCCUUUUAUUAAAAUAGUGUCGUUUGAAAUUCAAAAUUUGCAAAACAAUGCCCUUUUUUUAAAAUCAAUCUUGCCCACAGGAUGUACAGAUCAGCAAUAAAUAAAGAAUUUUUUCUGUCCACGUGGACAAAGUCUCUUCUAUUUUAUGCACAGAGUACCAAACCAUGCAUAUACAUGCCAUACAACAGUACACAACUCACAAAAUACAUUCACCAAUUCAGCAAACAUACAAUCAAAUGCAUUAGGAGCGAUGAUGCGAAUGCAAAUUCAUCAAAUUAUAUCUAUUCCUUAGAAGUGUUUCCCAUCCGAAAAUUUUAUUUUGAAACUCAAGCAACUAAACAUAACAUUAGGAGCCAUGAUGUAAUAUCCGAGAUUUUGACAGUGUAGUUUGUCACACCCCGAGCCCGCCAAUUUGGUUGGAUUCGGGCACGCCAAAAGACCGCCGAACGGAUAGGAUUUCUCCUAUACCGCGGACAGAGUCUAUCCUGUAUGUCCAAGGCGUCACAGUCCAUACAAUGCACGAGGUUCCAACCAGGAACAGCAUUGUAACGAACUAAAACUAGGUAGAAAAUAUCGAACUUUAGCCAAAUUGACUAAAGUGUGCGAAAGAAAUGGUUGGACGAGUUCCAAUUAGCUUUCCAACUAUGUUGGAAGGGUUAGAAAUGGGUUUAAGAGAUAUUAGAAAGGUUUUAGCAUCGACCGACGCGAAGUAGAGUCGAAUCGGAGCUAAAACAACAUUCUAGAGCAAGUGUACCGGUACAACCAUCGAGUUGUAACCGGUACAGCAUCGCAGGCCGAGAGGGAGAAGCUCUCGGGUUUUAUUUUUCGUAGAAAUGUACCGAUUCACCCCUGGUGUGUACCGGUACACUUUGGUAAAAUCCAAGAACCUUGCUCUCGGGUUGCCUCUACAUAGAAAAUGUACCGGUACAAAAUCCCGUGUACCAGUACACUUUGGUCCGGCAGCAAGGAAUUGAUCUGUUGCAAAUAUAAAUGUUUGGGGGGCCUAGUUGCUACUGUUGCAACCUAUAAAAUACCCCAACACACCCACUGGUUCAUAGCAGCUGUGAACACCAUCUCCAACCUAUUUCCUUCCUCUCUUUCUCUAGGAAUCUCUCUCCAAAGGCUAAGGAGAAGAAGAAGGAGAAGGGAUUUUGGUGGAGUUUUGGAGGAUUUGAAGGUUUAGAGGGCUCUCCAACAAGGUGGACUUGGGUGAGCUUGUGGCUAAGAUGAGUUGUUUUGCAAGAACACCUCUAGGGUUAGGAUUUACACUCUAAGUUUUGGAGUUUUGGACUUCUUUCAAGUGUAGAAACCCUCUAGAGACCUUAAACCCAUGAAAAUCUAUGGUUUUUUCAAGGUGCUCUCAUGGUGGUCAACUAGGGAUCAUAGAAGAUGGCCUAGGAAUGAUUCAAAUGGCUUAGAAAUUGUAUUAGAAUACUUCCUAGUUGAUUCUAAGCUAGCUUUUGCUUAGGAAUGAGAUCAAUCUAGGAGAAAUCCCAUUAUGGCAUUGUUAGGGCAUGAAUUUUGGGACUUUUACCUUUAGUUAUUUUCGAGGUAAAUUGACCUCUUGGAAACCCAAUUAGGGGUAUUCCCGACGCGUGGGACAACUCCGUUUGACGUUACGAAAAGCUUAUGUAAGAGUUUUAUGUAUGAAGCCUAAUUUGGCUUUAUUUUUGGGUUUAGGUCGCGGGAUUGGCGUCCUAAAAUCGCGCGAGUUGAACUACAACCCUAUUACAAUAUUUAAGGUUGGGGGUGCACAUCGGAAUCAUUGGAUUCCCCUUUAUGUCUAUUUCACUUUUGUUGAGCAUAUUUAUAUAUAUGUAAGGACUGAAAUUUUGACAGUGCAACUAAACUCUCUGUUGACGAUGUUUACGUGUGUAAUUUAAUUACAUAAGCACUCGUCAAGUUUCAGGAGAAAAUGAGCUACAAUGGAGAAGUUACGCGAUUAUUAGUGUUCACUUAAGUGAAUAGUAACUUCGGUUUUCGGAGAAGCCACGAAGCAAACUUGGCCUCUGGCGCGUACAGACCUUCGAACAUAGGACUCCAACAGCUCGUUUCAAACCUCUCGACUAUACUGGAACCAUUGGCGCUGACAGAAUCGGAUUCUGAUGCACGAUUAUUGAGAAAAAGGAUUUUUUUUUAAGAAAAAGUGGCAAUUUUAGGGUUUUUGUGGAAAUUGGGAGAAUUAUGGAGGAAUGGGUGCGUCGCGAAUCGGGGACCAAAUCAGGCGAAACGAGAUGCUAGAUUAGAUGCCCUAGUCGUGCCGAUCGCACUGGCGCAAUCCGAUCGAUAAUCCGAUGGGCGGAUUGGCGGGAAUCGUGAAAUGAAAGCAAAGGGGUCAAAAUGCAAUUUGAAAUUUAUCGCGAGAAACCCGACAUUUUAUGGAUCGAAUUGCGAGAUUUCUAAUACUGAGGGUCCUGCGCGCGUAUUUUACCUGUGGACAGGGAAUUGGUCGGAAAUAUUAGGUUACGGAGGGCUAAAGUGCAAAAUGCACAUGUGUAUAUAUAUUUAGGAUUAGGGUUCACAAUGGAACCCUAACCCUAAUCCGCCAACCCUAGCCCUCCCUGUGCACCAGCCGCCUAGGAGGCCCCCUGCCCACGCCGUGCUUGCACCCCGGCGGCCGGCAGCCGCCGCCGUCGCCGGAAAAGGCUUCCCCAAGCUCCAACCUUCCUCCCUCUCCCUCCACCUUGGCCGAGGAAGUCCCAAGCACCAUCCUGAGCCGGCCAGGCCUCGGGUGAGGUGAGCCCCGACCCAGGCACCCCCGCCCCGGCCAGCCCCUGCUACGGCCCUCAGCUCCGACACCGGCUCGAACGCAGCCGCCCACCGCCGCUACGGGCCCUCACUUCCGCCGGGCGCAAGCGGGGCAUGUCGUGUUUCCGCCGCCAUCCCCCGUGGACGCCGCCGGCCGCCGCGAGCUCCCACCGGCCCCAGCCCGCGCCACCAGCGGCCUGCCAGCCGCCUCUGGAGGCGCCAGCAGCCCUUUGCCGCCGUCCCGAGUGUGUGGGCUCGGUGGGUCGAAGCCGGAACCACCACAGGGACCCCGGCGUCCGCCGAUGCCGCCGAGGCCGCCUCGUGCCGCUGUCACCCCCAGCCGCCACUGCCACGGCNGCCGUUUCCCGACGGCCGCGGAGGUCUCCGCCGACCGUCCGGCGACCACCGCGCCCGACCCCGGCCACUAUCGAGCGCCGCCGGCCGCCGCAGGAGCCCUCUGCCGCCGCCUUUGUGCUGUACGGGCCGAACGCGGGCCGCCUUCACUCCCGGGCAUCGCCGCCACCCACCGACGCAAGCUCGGCCACCGCCUCGACCGCCGGCAUCGUCCCCGACCGGCCCCGACCAGCCCCGGCCGCCGCGUCGCCGCCGGCAACUGUUGGAAAGCACCAAACCGCAAGGGAGUUGGCGGCUCCGUACGCCGUCGCCGCACCUCCGGCCGCCCUGCGCCGCCUGACGUGGAGUGCCUCGGAGCCCCACCACCUGCUGCACCCCUCCCCGGCCGGACCGCCUGCCGGAAUACCGCCGGCGGCCAACCCUAGUUCCCCCCUCACUGUGAGUGUCCACUUAUGCAUUCCAGCACUGCAUUCCCACCUUCCGGUAACUAUUUCGGCAAUCCGAAUGGUCUUUUUGACCUCGGGAAGAGAGCACGAUGAUCCUUAGGUCGUGCUGAACAUCGUGCUCACUUCCCUCCAGCCCUGCGAUGCCUUGGUUGCUCGGGCAACCGCGAUCUUCCUGCGGUGCGCGCUGCUUCGCUGACGUUCGCGUCGCUCGUGCGCGCACCGCAGUCGCCGAAUGUGCUCCGAAUGGUGAGCAUGGUCUCCGGCACGCUGGAACCUAUCAACGGGUGCGACGGUUGACCCAGCGAACCUCGUAUCGCAAGAUCAAGCCAUAAAACUGUCGGAAAUCGCAUAAAAUAAUAGAUUUUAGGGUUCUUGAUGUGCUUUCUUGCAAAUAACUUCGACUCGGUCGCUGUGGACAGCGUGUAAACGCUGAGGGUAACCUCUGGACUGAUCGUCCAAGGCCCCAAGCCACUGCGGAGAUCGAAAAGCCUUUUUCGGGGCGUUUCGCGGCGAACUUCGUCGACGGAACGCAAUCUUAGUUCGGUUUUUAUCCGACGGUGCCUCGGGAUCAAUUGUGAUGUCGCUAAGCAUUCUUGGCGGGUCACCCGUGUCGUUUCGGGGGAUCGAAAACGACGGGUGAGCGACUGGUGGGUUCCGGUGUCGAAAACGACACUUUCGGGAACCCGGAUCGAGACGUUUAGUCAACGAUGUCUGUUCCGAGGCGAGGUGUGGUGUCUGUUCGGGAUUGUAAGUUAGUUGCUGACAUUAGGGUUUCCUUCUGACCUAGUGGACCCUUCGUAGGUCCGGUUGCUCUGUUCCCCGCCGUCGUGAGAUCUGAUCCAGAGUUGUACAGGUGGGUACUUCGAUCCGACGUCGGUACAGUGGUGCACGUUCGGUGAUGGUUUCUUACCCUUGCCCUCUUACUAUUAUCUGUGUGCAUAUAUAUUGAGCCUUGCACCUGCUUUUAUAUCUGCAUUCCUCUACUCAGUUAGUUCCAUGUUGAUAUCAUGCUUAGGAGUAGAGUUGACAUACGUAGUUCACUACAUCUGUGAUUUGGUUGGGCGGUUCCCCUAUUUUGAUAUCUAUGACCUAUUCGGUCGAGUUGCUACAGUUCUAUCUUGACAUACGUAGCUGACUAGUUGCUGAUGGCCUAUACGGUCGGUGUGCCCUGAGGGGCUGGAUUGUCGGCUAGUUGCCGAUGGAAGAUCUUUGAGCAUACUACAUUGAUCGCCACUACAGGUACGCAUUUCACGAACACCAGCGGUCUGAUCCACCGCAAGAGGGUGUUCUUUUCCGGAAAAGUGGUUGGAUUGCCAACCCGUGAGCCCAGGGGCUUUAUUGCGAGGGUAUAUGCUUCUGACCCAGGGGCUUCAUUGCGAGGGUCAGGUACUGUGCUUCUGACCCAGGGGCUUCAUUGCGAGGGUCAGGUACAGGUUGAGCAGUGUGGCAUGGGCCUGAGGUCUUCGGACCAAUAGGGCAGCGAGAUUGGGUACUUUUGAGGUUAUCGUCAGUUGACGCAUGCAUACAGUAGCUGUAGUGUUUAUUUCCAGUACAUCCUUAUCUGUUUAUUGUAGCUACUGUUUUAUUUACCUGCAUCUAUACUUGUCAGCUCCUUACUUAUCAGCAUCUUUACUUACCAGCACUUAUGUCUAUCUAGUUCUCCGUGUUGUUGUAUAGCUCUCUUCCUGAUCCGGUGAGUACUCCUCGCCUUCUUCGGCUUGCGGUACCCACUGGGAGGGGAGACAUGUUUACAUGUUCUCACCUCCCCCACCAUUUUUCAGGUAUCGCGGGCGAUGAGUAGUGGGACGAGACGUGAGGUACGUGUGUAGCGGUCGAUAGAGCUUCCGAUCCAGGUUAUUUCGAUUUAGUUAUUAUCCUUGGUAUUUCUGUUGAUAUAUAGUUUAGUUGGUUUGUGUGGUUCAGUAAGUAUUUACUUUUGAAAAUGUGGAUUUCUGGAUUUUGUAAAAUAAAAGGUUUUCUACCCCUCGUGGUAGCGUUUUUAAAAGAAUAAAGGUUUCUGUGUAGGAAACAGCUUUCAAAAGAUUUUUGUGGAUCUCUAUUUAUACCUUGAAUGUAAAACUGUGAUGUGAAUGGUGAAUGUAUGAAUGUAUAGUUAUCUUUAUAUUCAUCUAGUUGUGGUUGUAUCCUGGUUGUACUGUGUAUUUGAUCGACGCCGUGCAAAUACAGGGGAGACUCUGUCCGUGUGAACAGUGGAUUCCCUGUAUUUGUGGCGGAUUUGGCAUACUCUGGGGUCAGGUUUU